rnacentral:misc_RNA from 1 species
AAGUCGUAACAAGGUUUCCGUAGGUGAACCUGCGGAAGGAUCAUUAACACGAACUUUAUCCAAUACCAAACCAAACGUGAACUUUUCCCCUCCCUAUUCAAACAAGGACUAAUUUUUAGUUCUUUUUGUAUAGGCUAACACCUUUUUUACUUUUAUAUAGUAAAAUAUUCUAUUUUAUUAUAUAUAUAGUUUAUAACCCCUAAAACUUAAACUAUAGUUGGUUCAAGUGGAGUACUCUGUAUUCCCUUGCUUUUCAACUACUAACACUAAAAAAUGUCAUCUAUCAAUUUUAUUGAUGAUGCUUUUUUUCGAUAUUACGAAAAUUAAGAACAACUCUUAACAAUGGAUAUCUUGGUUCUC